UCUUUAGACCUGUGCAAUGGUGUCCAAGGGUACUGUGUCAGGGUAGGAAUACAGCAGCACGCCUUUGUGCAUUAUGUGCCGCAGGUAUCUGGAGAGAA
rnacentral:SRP_RNA from 1 species